rnacentral:rRNA from 1 species
GACGUAGGAUGCAAGCGUUGUCCGGAUUUAUUGGGCGUAAAGAGUUCGUAGGCGGUUCGUUAAGUCUGAUGUUAAAUAUUGGGGCUCAACCUCGGGAGUGCAUUGGAUACUGGCGGACUGGAGUGUGGUAGAGGUUAGUGGAAUUCCCAGUGUAGCGGUGAAAUGCGUAGAUAUUGGGAAGAACACCAGUGGCGUAGGCGACUAACUGGGCCAUAACUGACGCUGAGGAACGAAAGCCAGGGGAGCGAAUGGG